GGGCCUGUGGUUUAGUGGUAUAACACUCCCUUAGCAUGGGAGAGGUCCAGGGUUCGAUUCCCUGCCGGUCCA
rnacentral:tRNA from 1 species